UAGGGAAUCUUCCGCAAUGGACGAAAGUCUGACGGAGCAACGCCGCGUGAGUGAAGAAGGAUUUCGGUUCGUAAAACUCUGUUGUCAGGGAAGAAAAAAUGUAUAGUAACUAUAUACAAAAGAGACGGUACCUAACCAGAAAGCCACGGCGAACUACGUGCCAGCAGCCGCGGUAAUACGUAGGUGGCAAGCGUUGUCCGGAAUUAUUGGGCGUAAAGCGCGCGCAGGUGGUUUAGAAAGUCUGAUGUGAAAGCCCACGGCUCAACCGUGGAGGGUCAUUGGAAACUACUAAACUUGAGUGCAGGAGAGAAAAGUGGAAUUCCUAGUGUAGCGGUGAAAUGCGUAGAGAUUAGGAGGAACACCGGUGGCGAAAGCGGCUUUUUGGCCUGCAACUGACACUGAGGCGCGAAAGCGUGGGGAGCAAACAGG
rnacentral:rRNA from 1 species